GGAAGAGAAGCGUUCCCCGGUGGGGCGUCCGGACUUCAAAUCCGGGGGAGGCCGCGUGGCGGUCUCCGGUGGGUUCGACUCCCACUCUCUUCCGCCA
rnacentral:tRNA from 1 species